AUUCCCAGCAUGGUAGAAUACCAUGAAGGUGUACAACAAAGUAAGAAACUGAGGAAGGAACAGUAUUAAUUAUACUUCAAUAUUGUUUAUUUGAGGGUCUCUCUUCAGAGGCAACUGGGGUGAUUUCACAGGAAGGGAGAAGAAAACAGUUUUUCAUGGGUGGUAGAGCUAUUGUUAGUAAAGUUUUAAUGAGGCACUCUGGGCAUGGUCUUCUUAGCACAACCAAAAUGGCCCUGGAGGCUGUGGGGUCACAUGACAUUAAUAUGGGGGGAAUACUUGACUUCAUUCUGUUUGCCUCACAUUCCUUUCCAAACAUUAAUUGCCUGAGUUUCUCUGUUCAAGUGAAAAGAAUAAGCAUACGCAAAUUUUUCACUUGAUUGUUGUAUUACAUUUGUCUAUAUUUCUUCUAGAUGCAUUUGUGUUCAGGUUAUGUAUUCCAGCACAUGUCCCCUCAGGUAUAGGUGAGGAACAGAGCCUCUUACAUUCUCAGUAGGCCGAAUUAUGGUGUAUAUUGAGGACAUGUGCUGCGCCUUGUACUAAGCUCUUUAAAAUUUUUUUUUAUAUUUUCAUUUUAUUUUUGAGAGAGAGAGACAGAGUGUGAGUGGGGGAGGAACAUAGAGAGAGGGAGACACGGAUCUGAAGCAGGCUCCAGGCUGAGCUGUCGCCCAGAGCCUGAUGUGGGACUUGAACUCAUGGACCAGAUCACGAGAUCAUCACCUGAGCUGAAGUCAGACGCUUAACUGGCAGAGCCACCCAGGCACCCCUAAGCUGUUUUUUAAACCUUAUAUCCACCUGAUCCCCUUACAACCCUCUGAAGUUGGUAAUGUUCAUUUUAUUCCCAAUUUACAGGAGAUUGGGAAAGUGAAAGGUUGAGUAACUUCGCUCAAAAUCAUCCAGCUAGCAAGUGGAUUCUAACCGGGCCUGUCUGUCUACAAAGUACUAUUCCUCCCUGCAGUGUUCUCUACCUUCUGGGAUGACGAUGCUCCAUGCUUGAGCUCCUCCUGAUGUGAAUUCUUAGUGUCCUAUGUUUGAUUGGAAAGGGUGCUCUGUUUCUAUCCCUCCAACAAGCCCUGGGUUACUUUUUGAGCCAGAACCUGCUUUGAGAAAUUGUUGCCACUAAAGAGGAAACAGCCUGUUCAGGAAAGAGCUCUAGCUUUAUGGUCAGAGUGAUCUGGCUUUCAAUCUUGGCUCUUAUACUUGUUAGCUAUGUGACCUUGGCCGGGUAACUUAACCUCUCUGAACUUCAACUACCAAGCCCUCUACACAGAAAAAGCUAAAACGUUAUUAGGGGUAUAAAACCUCUAGAUUAUAUUCAGGCUCUGUGCUUCUAGAAAGGUGGUAUGUCUAGGGGCUGGGAAGUGAGAAUACAAGGAGGAUAAAGGAUCUAAAGAAGAAAAAGAGGACUGAAGCAGAAACUUGAGCAUUGCUUCUUCUCAUUUUGUUUUCUUUAUAAUUUUAAAAAAUAAUCAUUACACAUUAAUAGAAAGUGGGUCUCAGGGUACAAGUGACACCCUCAGUUGGAAACUAACAUUGGUGGCUGCUUGACAGAGAUGAUCAUCUGUUAAUUUUCCAAUAGCCCAGUCUGGCAAGAUUAGUAGUCCUGCAAUACAGUUGAGGAAACUACGGCUUAGAAAAGUUGAGUAACUUGCCCAAUAUCACACAGCUUGAGUGGGAUUUAAAACCUAGGACCAUCUAGCACCAAAUGCUGUCCUCUUCCCAUGACACCCUUCUCAACCCAACACUGAGUUCUAGGCAUGUUGCAGGGUCCACUUCUCUGCGUUCCCCAGCUUCCGGGCAGCUGGGCCCACUGAGCAAUCUACCCACUGUACUACAUAGAGCAGUGGGGCCAGAGGCAAUGUUCCCUGAAAAGUAACACAGAAAAUUUGAUACUGGAAGGUCACUGAAGGUAAAACCACUUGAAAUGGAUUUCCCAAAUUUCAUUGUAGUUAAAAAACAAAAACAAACAACAACAACAAAAAGGACUAGGACCUUAUCUUGGUAAUGAAACUAAAACUACAGUGAAAUGAAAUUAAAAUGGUCUGCUGCCCUUGGUUUCCUCUUCCUGUGCUCUGCCCUCAUAUGGGGACACUUUGCUUCAAUGAGCUCCAGUGGGAAAGCACCAUGCUUUUAGCUCCAUGCCUGACACGUGGGCACGGAAUACAUACUGGAAUCCCAUAAUUCAGCUAGGCCUGCAGGUCCCUGACUGGGAAUGGCCUCACUCUCCUUGAACCCUGGGUCUUGGCCACUGACCAGAAGCUGUUCUAUCAGUACUUCCCUGUCUCCAUGUCCUCCAGUUCGUUGAUUUUUGGUUCAACCUUUCCCCUCAUAUUAUCUGUGUCACGGCUGAACGUUCUGGUGAAUCCAGAGAUCUUUCUUGAACACCUUGGAACAAAUGCCUGAAGAUCCUAGAACAAUUUCACAUUAAAAAUCCCUUUGAUUAAGCAAAUGUAUAUUGCGGAUUGGGCUCUGGGCCUCUAAGGGUCCAGCCUAGGCUAGAUGCUGGUGAUAAUGUGGUGAAAAGCCAGGUGCAGUCCUGCUUCAUUUGUUACCUUUCAAUUCCCACCUGCCUCAUUCCUGGGAGCCACCAUCCCUACCCAAGGCACACCCUCUCCAGUCGUACCCUCUGCCAUCUGUAGCCAGUCCAGCCUUCCCUCCCACCCCGGUUGUCUUUCCAGAUGCUCUGUUCCACCUGCACACAAGUGGGAAUAUGUCUUCUCCCCUGGGAUGACAUUGUCUUAAGAACGCUGCUACUGCUUCCCAAACAUCCUUUUAAAGUUCUCAGGUGAGACUUACUGUUUAGUAUUUAUUUAUUGAUUCACUCGCCAAUUAUACACUGUACCCUGCCUAGAAACCACAUAGCAUAGCAUUUGAGCAUGGACUCUGGAGUGAGAGUGAAUUUAAAUCCUGGCUCUGCCACUUACUAGCUGGGGGACCUUGGGCAAGUUGCUUUCGUUCUCUGUGCAUGAGUUUACUGGUGCAUAAAAUAUGGGAUGAUAAUAUUACCUACUUCAUAAGGACUAAGUGAGAUAAGUCAUGUAAAGUGCCUAGAACAGCACUCAAAGACAUCCUCAGUAUUACUUACUAUGGCUAUUGAGCACCAGCGCUGGGCUAGGAGCUAGGAUGCAGUGGUGAACAGUACAGAGACAGUUAAAGAAACUAAUACAACAAAGGAGGAGAUUUGUAGCAGGCAUAGUACCAGGUGCUAGAGUGCAUGGUGGGAGGAAACUUGCUAAACACACAUUGCAGGGCCUUAUUGUAUUCGUUUCCUAUGGCUGCUGUAACAAAUCAUCAUAGUUCAUGGCUUAAAACAACACAAAUUUGUUAUCUUAUAGUGGUGGAAGUCAGAAUUCCAAAAUGGGUCUCACUGUGUAAAAAUCAAAGUUUCAGUAGGCUGAGUUCCAUUCUGGAGGCUCCAAAGGUGAAUCUGUUUUCUUGCCUUUAUCCAGCUUCUAGCUCACAUUCCUUGGUUAGAAUUCCCCUUCCAUCUUCAAAGCCAACAGUGGCUGUCAAGUCAUUUUUAUGAUGCCUGUCUGUUCUGACUAAAGUCUGGUUCUGACUUUACUGUCUCCUCAUUUAAGGACCCUUGUGAUUGCAUUGGGCCCACUUUGUAUAAUCUAUUUUAAAGUCAGCCAACUAGCAGUCUUAAUUCCAUCUGCAACUUUAAUUCCUCCUUGCCUUGUAACAUAAGAUAUUAACAGUUUUCAGGGAUUAGGACGUGGAUAUCUUUGGAUAGGUCCAAUAUUCUGCCUACCACACUUACGUUCAGAGCUUUUGAUUCAGUAGCUCUGUGAUGGGGCCCAAGAAUUUGUAUUUCUAACAUGUUCUCAAAUGAUGCUGAUGCUACUGAUUCAGGAGCACACUUUGAAAACCACUGAUGUAGAGACUUUGGCCAUUCACAUCUUCAUCCAUUCAACAAACUUUUUAGAUCUCUAAGUGUGAACCCAAUAUUACACCGGAUGUUGGGAAUAGUGCCUGCAAAUUAAAAAACAAACAAACAACCCUCCCCCCUCAAAAAAAAACCCCAUAAUCUAGCAGAGGGGCGAACAGUUUCAGUUUGGUGUGAUAUAUAGUCAAAUAGAGCUAUGUGCAAAGUGCUAAGCAUUUCCAGAGAAGAGAGCAACUGACAGGGGCAAGGGUGUGCUUUAUAGAUGAGGUGACAUUUGAGCUGGCCAUUAAAAAGUAAAGAGGAGAUUUCUAGGAGUUAAGGAGGGGAAGAAUAUGGCAGGUAUUGAGAAUAGCAUAUGAGAAACAGCACAACAUAUCAAGCGAUGAAGAAUAGUUCUAUGUAGUUGGAGUGGAUAGUGCAUAGCAGUGGAGAAGAACUGGACCUGAUACUAGAAAAAUGCUGUGCUGUAUUAAGCAAUAUAGUGGACCUGUCUAGUUGCCUCUCAGCCCACACUGUCUUUGAGAACAUUCCUCUCUAGAGAUCCUACUGAAGGUGUGAACCUCAGGCUGUCAUAUUUUGUCUGCAUGACCUUACUUGACUCAUGAGCUAAGCCAAUCAGAUUUCCUUUCUCAGGGCACCCAGGUGACUCAGUCCAUUAAGCUUCUGACUCUUGAUUUCAGCUCAGGUCAUGCUCUGAUGGUUCGUGGGAUUGAGCCCCACGUUGGCUGCUUGGGAUUCUCUCUUCCUCUCUCUCUGCCCCUCACCUGCUCUCUCUUGCACUUUGUCUCAAAAUAAAUAAAUAAACAUUAAAAAAAAAAGAAUGCCUGUGGGGGCAAUGUGCCUUGAUGAACUUGUGGGGGGUGGUGAGGAGAGGGUAGGGAGGAAUCUGAAGGGGAAUGGGGUAGAGUCACAGUAAGAAGCAGAGAUACUAAAGGCAGCAAGAGAGGAGCCAGCAGACAUGGGAUAUUAUCCUUAGCAACUCCCCUGCUGCUUAGCUGCACUUCUUCCUUCGUGAAAGUCCUUCCUUCCUUUCUUCAUGGUUCCUUCUUCUUUUUUAUUUUUAUUUUAUUUUUUUAUUAAAAAAUUUUUAAUGUUUAUUUUUGAGAGAGAGAGAGCAGAGAAUCUGAAGCAGGAUCCAUGGUGACAGCAGACAGCCCAAAGUAGGGCUUGAACUCAUGAACUGAGAGAUCAUGGCCUGAGCCAAAGUCAGACGCUUAACCAACUGAGCCACCCAGACGCCCAAUCCUCCUUUUUUAAAAACAAAUACUUUCUUUUAUUAGAGCAGUUUUAGGUUUACAACAAAAGUGAGAAUAAGGUACAGAGAUUUCCUAUAUACCACCUGUCCCCACACAAACAAAGCCUAUCCUUUUAUCAUUAUCUCCCAACAUCACUCACCAGAAUGGUACUUUUUUUUUUUUAAACCAAGGGUGAACUUUCACUGACACAUCAUAAUCACCCAAAGUCCAUCCCUUUUUCUUUAAAAUAAACUUCUUUUUCUUUUAAAAAAAUUUUUUUUAAUGUUUAUUUAUUUUUGACAGAGAGAGAGAGAGAGACAGAGCCCGAGCAGGGGAAGGGCAGAGAGAGAGAUGAAGACACAGAAUCUGAAGCAGACUCCAGGCUCUGAGCUGUCAGCCCAGAGCCCAAUGUGGGGCUCGAACUCACAAGUUGUGAGAUCAUGACCUAAGUUGAAGUUGAAUGCCUAACCGACUGAGCCACCUGGGCACCCCUAAAUUUCUUUUUCUUAAAUGGCAUGGAGUACUUUUUGUUUUUGGCAAAUGAUGAUCACUAUCUAAUACAAAGUUCACAUUUGAUCUUGGCAGAAAUAAGCCAGUGGAAGUGUAUGAGGCAAAGGAAUAACACAGUUUGAUUUGUGUUUCAGAAAGAUCUCUGGCUGCAAAAAGGAGUCAGGGGAGCUGGUAAAAGGCUUCAGCACUGACUUGGGCGAUAGAGAAUGAGAGCCUGAACUCAGGGAGCAGCAGGGAGGAGGGAGUGGGUCUGAAAGAGUGCUUGGGAGAUAGAAUUAAUAGGACUUAAUAUCCUGAGAUGUAGGAAGCCCAGGGCAGAAAGUGUUAAGGACAGUCCUCAGUUUCUAGCUCAGUGAUUUGAAAGAGUUGCAAAACUGCUAACAGAGAAAGUGAAGAUAGAUUCACAUUUUGGAAGAAAUAUUAAGCUCAGUUUUAGGCACACUUAACAUCUGAGGAGCCCAUAGCUACAUCCAGUAGGCAUUGACACUUUAUUCCUGGAGGUCAACAGACAAGUUAGAAUAAAGAUGCAUGUAGCGGGGCUCCUGGGUAGCUCAGUCAGUUGAGUGUUCCCAUUCUUGACUUCAGCUCAGGUCAUGAUCCCAGGGUCAUGAGAUCAAACCCUGCAUCAGGCUCGCCUAGCAUGGAGCCUGCUUGAAAUUCUCUCUCUCUCUCCCUUUGUCUCAUUCCUCCGCUCAUACUCUCUCUCUCUCUCUCUCUCUCUACAUAUAGGUGGUAGCCACUUGACUAGAUUAGAUUCCAGAAUGAGUUCAGCAUGAGAAGGGAGAGAAAGGAAGGAAGGAAGAAAAGGAAAAGUAAGACAACAAAAACAUGGGAAACACUGACAUUGACUGGCCAGAGGAGGAACAUGAACCAGCCAAGGAAUCUGAGAAGGAGUGGUCAGAGGGGUAGAAGGAGACCCAAAAGAGAGUGAAUCAUAGAAGGUAAGGGAGGAGAGUCUUAGGGAGGAGAGUCUUAAGCAGGAGAGAAUGACCAUAUGGAUCAAAUUGUGCAUUGGGAUUAAAUAAGAUGAAAGCUGAAAGUAGUUCAUAAUAUUUGAUAUUUGAGGCAUUGUUGUUGUCUUUAAAGAGAGCAGUUUCAUAAAAAUGGAGAUAGUGGUAAUAAGAUGAAGUCAUUUGGGUGAGGAGUGACUGGUUGGUAAGAAAGUAGGCAAAGCAAGAGACAGCUACUCUCUAGAAGUUUGGAAAAGAGAUAUUUGGGCAGAAGCUUAAGGAUGAAGAGAGAUAAAGUACACUGCAAAACCGACCUAAUUCUUCACCCCUUCCUGACUUCACACCGUUUGUGCUGUGACUUUGCAGCUCCUCUCAUUAAGAAGUAGAGUCUAUUUCCUUGUUCCCGGGCUGGCCUUGUGAUGUUGUGCCAGUUCAAAAGGCUUUGCGUACUUCUGCCCUCUCUCUCCCUUGAAAUCCUGCGUGGCUAUCAUGAGAACAAACCUGUGCUAAGUUGCUGGAUAAGUGAUCAGUGGCCCAGUGACCCACUUCACCAUAAUUAAUAACCUGCUAAUUGCCAGGCACGUGAGUGAGAUCAUCCUUGACCACCCUGCCGACCUACCACCUGACUGCAUAACUCAUGAGGAUGUGCAGUCAGUAUUUCAGGCCCAGCUAAAGUCAGGGGAGCCUGGCCCAGCUCAACAGAACUGCCCAGAUGACUCACCAGUUUGUGAAUAAUAAAAAUGCUUAUUGUUUCAAGCCAUUGUUUUGGGCUACUUUGUUACACAUCAACAGCUAACUGAUUCAAGAGAUUAUUGGGAAGUUUCCAUUAUCUUGCUUGGCAUGGAGGAGAUUUGAACAUAUCUGCAUGUUGUGGGGAAAAGACAGGUUUAAGAUUCAAGAGAAGGAAUAAGUGACCAAAAGCUCAGGUGGAGGAUUAGCCUGGAAAUAGGCGGAGGGCUGCCUUUGUUUUUGGGAUAAGAGAAGGAAGUAGGGAUAUGGAGGAUGAUGUCCUGGACUGAAAUUCUCUGCAUCAUUGGGGCUUCAGCCAGGUGUGAGCUAGGUGGUAUCAUCUCUGGACAUGCUCACAUUUAACAUCCAACCAAAAAUUAACGUCCCAAACUCAUGCGUUUCCACAUCUGUCAAAGCUAAAAGGGGCAUCUGAGACAGACUUCCUUUUGUUUUCACUGGCGUGUCAAAUGCUGCAGUGACAGCAAAAGAAUAAUCUUCAGUUUGUGUAUAAUGAGGUCUGAAAUUUCCGUCUCCACACAUUGAUCAUGAAUCUUAUUUCACUAGAUAAACUGACAGCAGAGUCUCAGGUACUUAAACAAAUUUUUGGAAAAAAAAAUCAACACAACCACCCACAUCUCUGAUUUUUUCCUGCUGUCACUUUUAUGGUUCAGUUAGUUUGUCUAUAUGCACUCGUUUCCAGUUUUGUCUGGAUUUCUCAACAGCCAAAUCAUUCCUCAAUCCUAGACAUAUACUUCUCUAUCUUGAAAAAUGAUUUUGUUGAAAGACCACUGGUUUGGGAGGCAGAAAAACGGAGUUCUAGUCUUGACUCUGCUGUUAACUAGCAAACUUAUCCAGGCUAAGUCACUGAACCUGUUUCCUUAUCUGAAAAACAUAUUCCUCCAAAAAAACUUACUGAGUACCUACCAGGUGCCAGGUACUGUUGUGAGUGCUUAGGAUCCAUCAGGGAAAAAAAACAAAGACCCUGGCCCCCAGGAGUAUACAUUCUGAAGUCAGACAAUGAGGAACAAAUGCAAUAAAUGGGAUAAUUGUAUCAUGUGAUAGAUAGUGAAAAGUAUUAUGAAAAAAAUUAAAAAUAAAGUUGGGGCGGGGGCAAGUUGGAGGUCAGGAGAAAUGUCUGAGGAGUUACUGGAAGGAGAUGAAGGAAUUACCAUGAGGGUAUCUGGGGGAAGAAUGUUCCAGGCAAAGUCCUUGAGUAUUUCCUCAGUCUCCCUUUUCCUCCACACUCCAUUUCUGCAUAUUGACCUCAGAGGAGGUUUAUAAUGCAUACAGUCUUCAGGCCGUUCUUCCAUACUCCUCCAUACAUUUCUUUGAACAGCCAAAAAAUAACUGUCCAUUCACUUUGAACUAGCCCAUUGGCAUUAGGUGCAAGAGCCUCUCACCUUGUGUUUAUUUUCCAGGACCUCUGUGUGGUAUUUUCCUGCCAUCCAAAAGCCUAACUCUGUAUGUAUUAUUUCAAACAUCACAUGGACAUUUCCUUCCAGCUCUGCACAGGACAGUGCAAAUAUACAGUGUGGGCAAAAGCCCGCAAAUGUAUCUUUAAAAAAAGACAUGGCUCUUGAUGAAGUACCUACCAUUUCUGAAUACCUCUUAUGUGCCAGGUGCUUCGCAUUCCUUAUUUCCCCUAAUCCUCACCACACCUCCAUCUCUCUCUCAGGUUAGCGUUCUCCCACAACAGUGGUUCAGAGAAUUUUGAAAACUUACCUGUGGUCGCACGGCUAGUAAGUCUCAUAGUCAGAAUUUGAUUCCCAAUGACACUUUGCUUCAGCAAUACUGUACAGCUUCCUUUCUUCCCAAGUACCCUUUCAUCCAGCUGGAAAACCAGAAACAGGUACAUGACACAACUAGAGAGUUGUUUUAAGGCAUAUAGCAUGGUGGUGAAGAGCUUGGGCUCUCCAGUCAGACAGCCUGAGGCCAAGCUCCAAUUCUGCCACGUUAUAACUGUGUGAUCAUGGGCAAGUUACUUAACUUUUCUGAGACUUCCUUUCUUCAUUUGUAAAUAUGCAUAAUGACUACCCAUCUCAUAAGUUUGUGGGGAGGAUUCAAUGAUAUAAUUCAUAUAAAGUGCUUAGCAUAGUAUCUCUUACAUAAUUGCUAAUAUAGGUUAACAAUUAUUCUCAUAUCUUGAUUUUUUUUUUUAAAAAAGCACAUGGAGGGGCGCCUGGGUGGCGCAGUCGGUUAAGCGUCCGACUUCAGCCAGGUCACGAUCUCGCGGUCCGUGAGUUCGAGCCCCGCGUCAGGCUCUGGGCUGAUGGCUCAGAGCCUGGAGCCUGUUUCCGAUUCUGUGUCUCCCUCUCUCUCUGCCCCUCCCCCGUUCAUGCUCUGUCUCCCUCUGUUCCAAAAAUAAAAUAAACGUUGAAAAAAAAAGUUUAAAAAAAAAUAAAAAAGCACAUGGAUAUUUUAUUUAAAAAAAAUUUUUUUAACGUUUACUUAUUUUUGAGAGACAGCGUGAGCAGGAGAGGGGCAGAGAGAGAGGGAGACACAGAACUUGAAGCAGGCUCCAGGCUCUGGCUGUCAGCACAGAGCCCAACACGAGGCUCAAACCCAUGAACUGCAAAAUCAUGACCUGGUCUGAAGUUGGACGCUUAAUCAACUAAGCCACCCAGGCACUCCUAAAAGAGCAUGUGUGUUUUAAAAUAUCUCUGGAAGGGUCAGGUACUGGCGAGCUUACUUUUCACUCUGAUGAUUUGUACAAGGUAUACAUUUAAAUGUUGGACCAAAGAUAUUACUUAUUUAAGAAAGCAACUACACAAUGAGACAAUUUUAAGGAAAUACCAUUAUUAUUAUCAUUGUAAAGAAUUUGGAAUAAUUAUUACUCCAUAAUUUAUUUGGAUAGAUGGAUUUGGAGGAGGUUUCUGGGAGAUGAUUUAGCGAAGCCUUGAAGCCGGUAUAGCAUUUUGAUGACAGAAUAAAGAACUGGGAGGCAUUUUAAGUGAAAGAUUCUUGCAAAGUAGAGCAUACAAGCAGGAAAGAGUAGCCAGUGAAUGCAGUUCUGUUCAGCGAUAAUUGUUUGGUGCUGUGACAACUAAUCCAGGUGAUUGUGCUUUUCAAAUACCUAAAGUGGAAAAGAGAGGGUGUAAGUGAAAAAUUGCCUAAACACUCCACUCCAACACAAAAAUUGAGAAAGAUUGCUGGUUGAGGCCAAUUCCAUGAGCCCUGCUGCCAGAAUUAUUCCGGUUCAUCAAUCCAAAUUGAGCUGGAGGAACCUUUGACAUCCCCCUCUCUCUGCCUGCAGGUCAGCUGUCUCCACUCCUGAGGUCAUCACUCAUCAAGAGGGGAUAAUCCCAAGGACAGCAGGAUCUGCUUCGUCACUUGGAUUUAGGAGUGAGAAACCCAUCAGGCAACUAAACAGUAACAAUGACCCGCCAUUAAACACACUGAGAGAAGAGCAUGAUGAGGAGAUUGUACAAGAAGAAUCCCAGGGCUCUUGCUGACAACGCCUAUGGAGUCACUGACCACUGUGAGCUCUGCCCAUUGAACUGCAGUGAAAAAUCUCCCCCUCCCCAGAGAUGCUUGGAUGUGGGCACAAUAUCAGUUCAGACAAUGGUCUUUGCUUGGAUUUAGAGUGGAAAGAAUUUGUGCUGUGGGGUAAAAAGACCUGGGUCUGAACUGUCACUCUGCCACUUCUGUGUAGUAUGCUUUGGCAACAUUAAAAAAAAUCUCUCUGAGCCUCGGUUUUUCUUGUCUGCAAAAUGGAGCAAAUACCGACACAGAGGGCUUUUAAGAGGA
rnacentral:lncRNA from 1 species